GGUUUGAAUGUGAAUGUGGUAUAAACUCUUGGGCAUUGCUAUCUAAAAUUGAAGAAGUGGCGGUGGCGACGGGUUUCAAGAACUUUUUAUAUUUUCUAAUUUUACUUUCUUUCUCUAAAUAGUUCUCAUCUGGUUCUAUAAUGUCAUCAGUAAUUCCCUCCGAGUCCACUGAAUUUAAAAUCUGUUCGUCGAUAUUGGCUAAAGUUUUCUUUUUCUUUUCAACUGCUUCCAAUAAUGUAC
rnacentral:lncRNA from 1 species